rnacentral:rRNA from 1 species
AGUGAACGCUGGCGGUAGGCCUAACACAUGCAAGUCGAACGGCAGCACAGUAAGAGCUUGCUCUUACGGGUGGCGAGUGGCGGACGGGUGAGGAAUACAUCGGAAUCUACUUUUUCGUGGGGGAUAACGUAGGGAAACUUACGCUAAUACCGCAUACGACCUACGGGUGAAAGCAGGGGAUCUUCUGACCUUGCGCGAUUGAAUGAGCCGAUGUCGGAUUAGCUAGUUGGCGGGGUAACGGCCCACCAAGGCGACGAUCCGUAGCUGGUCUGAGAGGAUGAUCAGCCACACUGGAACUGGGACACGGUCCAGACUCCUACGGGAGGCAGCAGUGGGGAAUAUUGGACAAUGGGCGCAAGCCUGAUCCAGCCAUACCGCGUGGGUGAAGAAGGCCUUCGGGUUGUAAAGCCCUUUUGUUGGGAAAGAAAAGCAGCAGGUUAAUACCCCGCUGUUCUGACGGUACCCAAAGAAUAAGCACCGGCUAACUUCGUG